CAGCCAUGUCCAUCCCAUCAAUGUCACGCUUUAUGCUGAAAGAAGGGAGGGUAUUACGUAUGUCUGUUCCUUGAAGACUGAAAAUCUUACAUAUUCCAGAGAAGGCAGUGAAGAAAUGACUUCCUGGAGAUCUUUUAUAAGCUUCUGUCUCAAACGCCUGCCUUGCUACCAUGCUUCGUCGCUUGUAUUCCUCUUUCUCUUUGAGGCACAAAGGAGGAAAGUCUGACCUUCUCCCACCUGUUUGAGUUUUUCCUUUGUGUGACAGGGUCCAAGAGACUAAUAGGAAGGCUGGAAUAGUUGGCUGAUGCAGUCAUCUCCCCUUACACGUUUUCUUCCCAGCAAGGUUCCCUUUUUGCCUGUUUUGUUUCUGUUGAGAUGAGUGGAGAGGCAAUACUGAAGCAUACCCGAGCUCACUGCAAUAUGGAAAUAUCUCACUCAAAGCCAAGAUGAAAUAUGUCCUGAGAAAGAAACAGUGGGCACAAAAUGUUCCGAAUAAGUAAGCCCAUUAAGAACUUCUAUUUAACCUUGGGUAUGUUCUUGGUUUUGGGUAUUAAAAUAUUCAUGAGCUCUCCACUAAUGAAAAUUUAGAGAAGAAAAGAAAAAAAAAGUCAAGUGGCCUUAGGCAGGAAAAUCUGCAGCCUUGCAGGA
rnacentral:lncRNA from 1 species